UUCCUACGGGUGGCAGCAGUAGGGAAUAUUGGACAAUGGGCGAAAGCCUGAUCCAGCCAUGCCGCGUGAGUGAAGAAGGCCUUCGGGUUGUAAAGCUCUUUUGGCGGGGACGAUGAUGACGGUACCCGCAGAAUAAGCCCCGGCUAACUUCGUGCCAGCAGCCGCGGUAAGACGAAGGGGGCGAGCGUUGUUCGGAAUCACUGGGCGUAAAGGGCGCGUAGGCGGCGCGAUCAGUCAGGCGUGAAAGCCCCGAGCUCAACUUGGGAAAUGCGCUUGAUACUAUCGUGCUAGAGAGCGGGAGAGGAUGGUGGAAUUCCCAGUGUAGAGGUGAAAUUCGUAGAUAUUGGGAAGAACACCGGUGGCGAAGGCGGCCAUCUGGACCGUUUCUGACGCUGAGGCGCGAAAGCGUGGGGAGCAAACAGGAUUAGAUACCCGGGUAGUCCC
rnacentral:rRNA from 1 species